rnacentral:rRNA from 1 species
ACACCCAACAGCUAGCCCCCCUCCCCAAAUACAACAAGACAACAUAAAUAAACCCAAACACACCAAACAACGAAAAACAAACCAUUUUUCCCCCUUAGUAUGGGCGACAGAAAAGGACCUCCCGGGCGCUAUAGGAAAGUACCGCAAGGGAAAGCUGAAAGAGAAAUGAAAAAAUCCAGUUAAGUACAAAAAAGCAGAGAUUAAACCUCGUACCUUUUGCAUCAUGACCUAGCUAGUACCUCUUAAGCAAAAUGAAUUUUAGUUUAAACCCCCGAAACUAAGUGAGCUACUCCAAGACAGCCUAUUAUAGGGCGCACCCGUCUCUGUGGCAAAAGAGUGGGAAGAGCUUUGAGUAGAGGUGACAGACCUACCGAACUUAGUUAUAGCUGGUUGCCUAAGAAUUGAAUAGAAGUUCAGCCUCUUGGUUUCUUUUGUCCAAACUGGCCACGCCCACCUCAGACCACAAGAAAACCCAGAGAGUUAGUCAAAGGGGGUACAGCCCCUUUGAAAAAGAUACAACUUUAUUAAGAAGGUGAAAGAUCAAAAGACCCUAAGGCACUAUAUUACGGUGGGCCUAAAAGCAGCCAACCCCUCAGAAAGCGUUAAAGCUCAAGUAUUUGCCACCCUAUAAUCCCGACAACAACAUCUUCAACCCCUUAAACUAUUAGGCCUCUCUAUACUAAACUAUAGAAGAGAAUAUGCUAACAUGAGUAAUAAGAGGGGCCUGCCCCUCUCCCAGCACCCGUGUACAUCAGAACGGACCCCCACUGAAAAUUAACGCCCCCAACCAAAGAGGGUAUUGAACACCACACCCCUACCACCAGAAAACCCCCCAAUUGAAUCACAAGCGUUAACCCUACACAGGAAUGCUAAAGGAAAGACUAAAAGAAAAAGAAGGAACUCGGCAAACACUAGCCUCGCCUGUUUACCAAAAACAUCGCCUCUUGAGCUUUAAGAUUAUAAGAGGUCCCGCCUGCCCUGUGACCAUGUGUUUAACGGCCGCGGUAUUUUGACCGUGCGAAGGUAGCGCAAUCACUUGUCUUUUAAAUGAAGACCUGUAUGAAUGGCAUAACGAGGGCUAAGCUGUCUCCUUUUUCCAGUCAAUGAAAUUGAUCUGCCCGUGCAGAAGCGAGCAUAAAAACAUUAGACGAGAAGACCCUAUGGAGCUUCAGACACUAGGACAGCCUAUGUUAAGAAACCUUAGUUAAAAGACUAAACCAAACAGCCCCUGUCCCCCUGUCUUUGGUUGGGGCGACCGCGGGGUAAAAAAUAACCCCCACGUGGAAUAAGGACACCUCCUUUAAAACCAGGGCCACAGCCCUAGUAAACAGAAAUUCUGACCAACAAGAUCCGGCAUCGCCGAUCAACGGACCGAGUUACCCUAGGGAUAACAGCGCAAUCCUCUUAUAGAGCCCAUAUCGACAAGAGGGUUUACGACCUCGAUGUUGGAUCAGGACAUCCUAAUGGUGCAGCCGCUAUUAAGGGUUCGUUUGUUCAACGAUUAAAGUCCUACGUGAUCUGAGUUCAGACCGGAGAAAUCCAGGUCAGUUUCUAUCUAUGAAGUAUUCUUUUCUAGUACGAAAGGACCGAAAAGAAGAGGCCCAUGCACAAGCAAGCCUCCCCCCAACCUUAGGAAGGCAACUAAAAAAGGUAAAGGGGCGCACUUCCAUUGGCCUAAGAAAAAGGCAUG